GGAGGCGCAUCUGUUCUGGUGAAUGGCGCGGUCUUCAAAACCGUCUGUGAGUUUGUGAGAACAAACUUGGGUAGGUUCGAUUCCUACACGCCUCCGCCA
rnacentral:tRNA from 2 species